AUUGAACGCUGGCGGCAUGCCUUACACAUGCAAGUCGAACGGUAACAGGUCUUCGGAUGCUGACGAGUGGCGAACGGGUGAGUAAUACAUCGGGACGUGCCUAGUAGUGGGGGAUAACUACUCGAAAGAGUGGCUAAUACCGCAUGAGAUCUACGGAUGAAAGCAGGGGAUCGCAAGACCUUGUGCUACUAGAGCGGCCGAUGGCAGAUUAGGUAGUUGGUGGGAUAAAAGCUUACCAAGCCGACGAUCUGUAGCUGGUCUGAGAGGACGAUCAGCCACGCUGGGACUGAGACACGGCCCAGACUCCUACGGGAGGCAGCAGUGGGGAAUUUUGGACAAUGGGCGCAAGCCUGAUCCAGCAAUGCCGCGUGCAGGAUGAAGGCCUUCGGGUUGUAAACUGCUUUUGUACGGAACGAAAAGCCCUGGGUUAAUACCCUGGGGUCAUGACGGUACCGUAAGAAUAAGCACCGGCUAACUACGUGCCAGCCGCCGCAGUAACAC
rnacentral:rRNA from 1 species